rnacentral:rRNA from 1 species
UAAGCAUAUCAAUAAGCGGAGGAAAAGAAACCAACAGGGAUUGCCCUAGUAACGGCGAGUGAAGCGGCAACAGCUCAAAUUUGAAAUCUGGCCUCACGGUCCGAAUUGUAAUUUGUAGAGGAUGUUUCUGGCGACGUGUCUUCCGAGUUCCCUGGAACGGGACGCCAUAGAGGGUGAGAGCCCCGUCCGGUCGUACACCUAGCCUCUGUGAAACUCCUUCGACGAGUCGAGUAGUUUGGGAAUGCUGCUCUAAAUGGGAGGUAUACGUCUUCUAAAGCUAAAUACCGGCCAGAGACCGAUAGCGCACAAGUAGAGUGAUCGAAAGAUGAAAAGCACUUUGAAAAGAGGGUUAAAUAGUACGUGAAAUUGCUGAAAGGGAAGCGCUUAUGACCAGACUUGGGCUCGGUGAAUCAUCCGGCGUUCUCGCCGGUGCACUUUGCCGUCCCAGGCCAGCAUCAGUUCGCGCCGGGGGAUAAAGGUUUCGGGAAUGUAGCUCCCUCGGGAGUGUUAUAGCCCGUUGCGUAAUACCCUGGCGUGGACUGAGGUCCGCGCUCUGCAAGGAUGCUGGCGUAAUGGUCAUCAGUGACCCGUCUUGAAACACGGACCAAGGAGUCGUCUUCGUAUGCGAGUGUUCGGGUGUCAAACCCCUACGCGUAAUGAAAGUGAACGUAGGAGAGAGCUUCGGCGCAUCUCCGACCGAUCCUGAUGUUCUCGGAUGGAUUUGAGUAAGAGCAUACGGGGCCGGACCCGAAAGAAGGUGAACUAUGCCUGUAUAGGGUGAAGCCAGAGGAAACUCUGGUGGAGGCUCGCAGCGGUUCUGACGUGCAAAUCGAUCGUCAAAUAUGGGCAUGGGGGCGAAAGACUAAUCGAACCUUCUAGUAGCUGGUUUCCGCCGAGU